rnacentral:rRNA from 1 species
AGUGAACGCUGGCGGUAGGCCUAACACAUGCAAGUCGAACGGCAGCACAGUAAGAGCUUGCUCUUACGGGUGGCGAGUGGCGGACGGGUGAGGAAUACAUCGGAAUCUACUUUUUCGUGGGGGAUAACGUAGGGAAACUUACGCUAAUACCGCAUACGACCUACGGGUGAAAGCAGGGCAUCUUCGGACCUUGCGCGAUUGAAUGAGCCGAUGUCGGAUUAGCUAGUUGGCGGGGUAAAGGCCCACCAAGGCGACGAUCCGUAGCUGGUCUGAGAGGAUGAUCAGCCACACUGGAACUGAGACACGGUCCAGACUCCUACGGGAGGCAGCAGUGGGGAAUAUUGGACAAUGGGCGCAAGCCUGAUCCAGCCAUACCGCGUGGGUGAGGAAGGCCUUCGGGUUGUAAAGCCCUUUUGUUGGGAAAGAAAAGCAGCAGGUUAAUACCCCGCUGUUCUGACGGUACCCAAAGAAUAAGCACCGGCUAACUUCGUG